ACAAAACAUAACGUAACAUUACAUCAUAUUACCGUCGCCCUGCAUGGAUGUAGUCAGCCAUGACAUGUCCGACAUGAUAGAGUGAUAUGAUAGAAUGAAAAGAAGUUCUCCUAUUCCAAGUGAAAGUGCUUUCAGCUGUACUCAACUCAGCUCCGACCUUCCUUCCUCACACAACAACAACAACAACAACAACAACCAUGACCAACGUCAGCAUUGAGUACUGCGGCGGAUGAGGGUACAAGUGGAGGUUUGACGACCUCGCUGAGACCCUUGAGCAGAUUCCUGGAGUGAGGGUUUCUGGCAAAGUUGGAAGGAAAAACAGUUUUGAGGUGACUGUGGAUGGCGAGUUGAUCUACUCCAAACUGAGCACUGGAUCUUUCCCGACUAAAAGCCAGAUUGUGCCCAAGGUGCAGGCGAUGUCCAAAGGCAGGAAGUAGACGCGGACGGGAUCCAACCAGAGCAUGAUGGGAGUGACUGCACUAGGGCAGACGCUGACGUCCUUCUUUGAAUGACUGUGCAUGCUCAAAACACAAAGGGGUGUGCACACGAUGGAAACCUUUAGAAGGGUUUUAGCUGAUCUGGAGUCUGUUGGAGUGUUCCCAUCAUGACAGUCUGGCUUAAUAGGGGACGGGAGCUGCUUCACUCAUUUCUGCUUUAAAGUAAUGGUGGGAACCUGUGGUGCUUGGGCCAUACGCAGCCCCCCGUUUUAUUCGACACACAAUUCAGAACAUAUGUUGAAAACAUAGAAAGAAAAAAAAGAGUUAAGAUGUUUAAAAAAAAAAAAAAGCUCCCAAUAAUGUAACACACACAUCAAGCAUUUAUUCAUUCAGUCUUUGCAUCGUAUUUUUUCAUACAUUUGGUAUAAGACUAAAAAUGGUUCCCCACUCCUGCUGUGUGCACAAUCAAUAUACAAUCAUUUGCUUCUUGAAAAGAAUGAGUGUUUUUAUCCAACUGCAAAUAAACCAUCUUUCUGCUACACAA